rnacentral:piRNA from 1 species
UCCACACACAUAUGAACCUAGCGGGUAC